rnacentral:rRNA from 1 species
AGAGCGAACGCUGGCGGCAGGCCUAACACAUGCAAGUCGAGCGCCGUAGCAAUACGGAGCGGCAGACGGGAGAGUAACACGUGGGAACGUGCCCUUCAGUUCGGAACAACCCAGGGAAACUUGGGCUAAUACCGGAUACGUCCGAAAGGAGAAAGAUUUAUCGCUGAAGGAUCGGCCCGCGUCUGAUUAGCUAGUUGGUGAGGUAACGGCUCACCAAGGCGACGAUCAGUAGCUGGUCUGAGAGGAUGAUCAGCCUCACUGGGACUGAGACACGGCCCAGACUCCUACGGGAGGCAGCAGUGGGAAUAUUGGACAAUGGGCGCAAGCCUGAUCCAGCCAUGCCGCGUGGAUGGAUGAAGGCCCUAGGGUUGUAAAGUCCUUUCGGCGGGGAAGAUAAUGACGGUACCCGCAGAAGAAGCCCCGGCUAACUUCGCGCCAGCAGCCGC